UACGUAGGGCGCAAGCGUUAUCCGGAAUUAUUGGGCGUAAAGAGCUUGUAGGCGGUUUGUCGCGUCUGCUGUGAAAUUUCGGGGCUCAACCCCGAACUUGCAGUGGGUACGGGCAGACUAGAGUGUGGUAGGGGAGACUGGAAUUCCUGGUGUAGCGGUGAAAUGCGCAGAUAUCAGGAAGAACACCUAUGGCGAAGGCAGCUCUCUGGGACGGUACUGACGCUGAGACGCGAAAGCGUGGGGAGCGAACAGG
rnacentral:rRNA from 1 species